UGGCUCUGGCAUNGAUGAAGAACGCAGCGAAAUGCGAUAAGUAGUGUGAAUUGCAGAAUUCAGUGAAUCAUCGAAUCUUUGAACGCACAUUGCGCCCCUCGGUAUUCCGUGGGGCAUGCCUGUUCGAGCGUCAUCUACACCCUCAAGCCCUGCUUGGUGUUGGGUGCCUGUCCCGCCCCGCGCGGCGGCUCACCCCAAAUGCAUUGGCGGCGGCGCCUUGCCCCCUCCCGCGCAGCACAUUGCGCUUCUCGAGGCGGCGGGACCGCGUCCACGAAGCCGACAACCCGUCUUUGACCUCGGAUCAGGUAGGGAUACCCGCUGA
rnacentral:misc_RNA from 1 species